UCGGGAGUUUACACUAUAUCUUGGGUUCAAGGAAGCAACAAUAGUACAAGUAUGAACAUUAAGCACGAGAGGUGAAAACAUGCAGCCAUGAACAAAAAUGAGGCAAACAUAUACUAUGGAGCUCACAAUGAACUAUAUUGCAUAGUAGGACCAAUAAACAUGGGUGUUAGAUAGCAAUGAAGCACAACUCAUGAACUCACUUCUUUAUUUACCUUCUCAAUUAUCAUGGAUGGAAUCACCAAAAAUGACUUGAUCCUUCAAAUAUAGUAUGAAGUUGAGCUCAUAGGUGAUCAAUAUGAUUCAUUAUUGUAGCCAGUUUGGAAGAAGAUGAAGGAAGCUAAGAUAUCCAAGCCGAAGAUCAUAUAACAUAACUAAAUAUUUGAAUGAAGCAAGUGAAAUGAUCACUGGGAUAUGAGAUGAAAGAGAAGUGCUCUUCUUAUGCUGAAAAAAUUGAGUGACUUAUCAAGUCAAUCAUCCAAAAUGAUAAUCUUAGUCAUCUCCAUGCCCCUGAAGUUUUCUUCAAGAACCAUAUGCUCAAAACUGUUUUCAACACCUUCUCUUGCAUAGAAUUCCAGUCACUAGACAUUCCAACAUGUUUCAAAUAUUUCUCCAGC
rnacentral:lncRNA from 1 species